rnacentral:lncRNA from 1 species
UGCAUAUCUAAGUAACCAUGCUUUUGAUGAAGCAUUUAGAUACAUAUGAAAUCCACCUUCUUUUGAUUUUUUGUACUAGUGACUAAUCUCUCAUGGCACAAUUAAUCCAUGGCAUUAACAAUUUAACUCAUCAGUCAAAUGCAGAAAUAGCACCAAGCCAUCUUCUGUUCUACAGAUAUGGAUGGAUGUCUUCCUAGGACAUGGCUGAGCAGUUCUAUAGAAUAAACCUGGAGCUCUUAGUGACUCCAUGGAGAAGAGUUGCACAACAACCCUGAGGGAAUGCACCUGGCAGCUUGGAAAAAACUUACCAUCAUCAAUUUUAGGAAGUUUCUGACCCCUACCUAUAGCGUGGGUGGCUGCGUGGAUGGUGUUCUGUUAAAAACAGCAGAAGUGACUGUCUUUCUCACGGACUGCAAAAAUAAUAUUGAGUUCUUUUAAAUCUGUGAGAAAAAGAAAAUACACUUAUCUGCAAUGGAUAAUAAAAGGUAUCAAAUCAAUAGAAAAUUCUCA